rnacentral:lncRNA from 1 species
AAGAUCGGCGGAGUCGGCGGCCGAACCCACUGGGAACUAUAUUUAUAUAGUUCUCACCCCGUGUGGUUUUGGGGUACAGGUACACGCGAGAGCGGACCGGCAGAUGAUCGCGGUAAGGGCUUAGCGCCCUAGUGCUAGUUGGUAGAUGCUUUCCUACUGCAUUAGAGUUACCCUAUAUGUUGAGAGUAGAUGAUAUAUAGGAUGUGAGGUAUAUUUUGAGAUGAAUGUAAACUAAUGUUUAUAUUUUGGGAGAUUACAAAGUUGUAAUUAAUUGUAUUAUGUUGAACUAAUGUAAUAGCUUAGUAUCUUUCUCUCUCUUUGUUUCACUUGU